rnacentral:lncRNA from 1 species
AGUGAGUAUACAUACUAAACUAAUUCUUUUACGAGAAAAUGAGCCAUUAUAGUAACUUUGGUAUUAUGAUUAGUUGUACGCGUGGAAAAGAGAAGUCAUAAUUCAUCUAUAAGAAUAUUGUACCAUGCAUUUUUUUUUUUUUUGGUAAGCUAUAAAAACAUGUUGUACUUGAGUGGUAGUGAUACAGUGAUUGAAGGGUUGAUUAUCUAAUAAGUGGCUAAAAUAAAUAAAUAAAGAAACUUAUAUAUAUAUUUCACUUGAGUGGCGAAGGAAACCAUAAAAGUUUUGAAAUUUUGAAUGAAAGUUUUAAUAACAUAGUAUAAAUAUACAGAAAAUAUAUUAUGAAUAAUAUAUAGUAAAUUUCUGCCCUAAAUCUCAAUGUUUGUGCUCUUCUC